ensembl:lncRNA
AGGAACUGGAAGAUGCUGCUGCUGCUUCGGGUGGGGGGGUUCAGAUAAACCUGAAUCAGGUUUCAUCAGCACCUCAGUGGUGGAUCAUGUCCAACCUCCAAUCAAUGGGACACAAAUGUUCCUCAAGAUGGCGCAAAAUGACUGCCGUGUAAAUUCAUAUUUGUUGUGCAGUCGAGGCCACCCUUGUUGACAUCUCUCAGUGAGCCCGUGCUGCUGUGCCAGAAGCUCAUUUCCAUGAGCAGAAGACAAAACCGUCCUUUCAAUUGGGAAAUGUGCCAAUCCAAGCCAAACAAACAGGAGAAUAUUUGCUGCUUGAAGAAAGCGCAGUGAAGUGUGGAUACAACACACGCAGAGGAGAGUCUUCUCAGAAAAGCCCAGGGGAGACUGAAACAGGAGGAGGAGGACAAAGGAGUGUGCAACGUGCAGUAUUUAUUGGCAGCAGGUCCGCUGUCGGCUGCGCACGCAUCGAUUCCCUGGUUCGUG